rnacentral:rRNA from 1 species
CGGGUGAGUAACACGUUGAUAACCUACCUAUAAGACUGGGAUAACUUCGGGAAACCGGAGCUAAUACCGGAUAAUAUUUUGAACCGCAUGGUUCAAAAGUGAAAGACGGUCUUGCUGUCACUUAUAGAUGGAUCCGCGCUGCAUUAGCUAGUUGGUAAGGUAACGGCUUACCAAGGCAACGAUGCAUAGCCGACCUGAGAGGGUGAUCGGCCACACUGGAACUGAGACACGGUCCAG